UUUGAUGGCGACCGGCGCACGGGUGAGUAACACGUAUCCAACCUGCCGAUGACUCGGGGAUAGCCUUUCGAAAGAAGGAUUAAUACCCGAUGGCAUAGUUCUUCCGCAUGGUGGAACUAUUAAAGAAUUUCGGUCAUCGAUGGGGAUGCGUUCCAUUAGGUUGUUGGCGGGGUAACGGCCCACCAAGCCUUCGAUGGAUAGGGGUUCUGAGAGGAAGGUCCCCCACAUUGGAACUGAGACACGGUCCAAACUCCUACGGGAGGCAGCAUG
rnacentral:rRNA from 1 species